rnacentral:rRNA from 1 species
CAGCCGCCGCGGGAAUACAGAGGGUGCGAGCGUUAAUCGGAUUUACUGGGCGUAAAGCGUGCGUAGGCGGCUUCUUAAGUCGGAUGUGAAAUCCCUGAGCUUAACUUAGGAAUUGCAUUCGAUACUGGGAAGCUAGAGUAUGGGAGAGGAUGGUAGAAUUCCAGGUGUAGCCGUGAAAUGCGUAGAGAUCUGGAGGAAUACCGAUGGCGAAGGCAGCCAUCUGGCCUAAUACUGACGCUGAGGUACGAAAGCAUGGGGAGCAAACAGGAUUAGAUACCCGCGUAGUCCCUGUCUCUUAUAC